rnacentral:rRNA from 1 species
UUACGGGAGGCAGCAGUGGGGAAUAUUGCGCAAUGGGCGAAAGCCUGACGCAGCGACGCCGCGUGUGGGAUGAAGGUCUUCGGAUUGUAAACCACUGUCGGGAGGGACGAAGCUCUGACGGUACCUCCAAAGGAAGCACCGGCUAACUCUGUGCCAGCAGCCGCGGUAAUACAGAGGGUGCAAGCGUUGUCCGGAAUCACUGGGCGUAAAGGGCGCGUAGGCGGCCCGGUAAGUAGGGGGUGAAAUUCUGCGGCUCAACCGCAGGACUGCCUCCUAAACUGCCAGGCUUGAGCACGGUAGAGGCUGGUGGAAUUCCCGGUGUAGCGGUGGAAUGCGUAGAGAUCGGGAAGAACAUCGGUGGCGAAGGCGGCCAGCUGGGCCGUUGCUGACGCUGAGGCGCGACAGCGUGGGGAGCAAACAGGAUUAGAUACCCCGGUAGC